rnacentral:lncRNA from 1 species
UUUCUGAUAAUGUUGUGACUUUAUUAGUUGUGGGUCAUUGCUAGACCUCGUAAUCUAUAUCCAUACCCGCGAGCUACCCACAAAUUUGCAGAUAUGUGUAUUAGUUUUUUUUACCAAAAAAAUUAUGGGUAAAACGGAUGAGUACUCGUUAAGUGGUGGAUAUUUUGAGCAACCCGCGGGUACCUAUGGAUACCCGCAUAUAUAUAUUUUUAAAUUAAAAAGAUAUAAUCUUUGUAAUAUUGACUCUAUAAUGAUGAAUUUUAUUAAUUUUGUAUCAUAAAAAUUCGGAAUGAUAAAAUACUUUUAUAUUAUGUAAUGUAUGUGUUUUUAAGAUUUUAUAUUAUUUAUUAUAUGUUAUGAUAUUUUAAUAUUUUUUAAAAUUUUAUAUAUGUGUUUUGCAUUUGAAAUGUAUAGUAGUAGAAAAGAAGAAAAAAUUUUACGGGUAACCCGCAUGCCUACCCGCCCAUAUAUGGACUGGUAUAGAUGAAA